UAUAUGGUGGUGUAGUCUUGCACGUAAAAUUUUGAUUUUUAAGGAAAAAGUGUAAUUCUUUUUCAUAUAA
rnacentral:tRNA from 1 species